rnacentral:lncRNA from 1 species
UUGUAUGGACUGGAACAGGAAGGAACCGCCAUGAUAAACCUCCAUAAUAGCUUCAGACAUCUUCUUCUUGAAGUGAGAGAGCUGGCUGGACAGAUCUUCAUGGUUUGGCUUCAUGGUGAGACAGACUUGUGACUUAAAUGCGGAAGCUACAGCUCAGGUUCUGAUGAACCUGGCUCUGAUACCAUAUGAGAUUUGAGAGCUCUGGCUGUGUAUGUGUAUGAGAAGCCAUUAGAGGCAAAGAUAAGGUCUUGAACUAGUUGAAUAAGAGGUCUGAUGAAACUAGUAUGAACUUGAAUCAGAAACAAAGAGACUUUGAGAGAUUAAGAGAUUAGAGACUAAGAAAGGGGUAGAUUAAGGGAAUCUGAUCAAGAACACACUUUUAUAAUUAUGAAGGAGAUGGGGAAAUCCCC